GAUGGCGUAUCAUCGGUGACCAAUGUGCUUUGUGAUUCUAUGUGGUCUUGGAUGCGGAUGGAUAAACUUCAUUCGAAAUAAGUUAUCUACUUAUAAACUUCAUUCUAAGUAAGUUAUCUACUUUUCUAACAUCUUCUAUCAUAUUACUUCAAUCCACGUCAAACAUGUGCAUAACUCUGUCAUGGGUUGGACCCUUUAGUUUAUUUUGUUUAAGUGGGCUUGUAUUAGUGGGCUAGCCCAGUCUCAUUAGGGUUGUUGUUUGGGUCUAUAUGUUGUUGUAUGUGUGCAUUUGGAAGGGUGUCGAUUGUUGAAUUGAUCGUGGUGGUUUGCUGCCGUCUACCUCCCCUCUUCCUCUUCUCCGGUUCUUCCGGUUCUUCUUCCUCUUCCUCUUCUUCUUCUUCUCUAUUUUCUGCAUUUCUCUCCCCUCUGGUAAUCUCUUUCCUUGCUUCUCCUCUUCUUCUCCGUUUCUUUAGCUUUCUUCUUCUCCGUUCUUCUGCUCUCUUCUUCUACUCUUAGUCUAUUCUUCACUUUCCUUCCCUGCAUGUCUAUUUCUAUAUCUUUUAUAUUAGUCUUUUAAUUGCAAUCCAUUGUAAUCAACUGGAUUGUAAUUGAAUCAUCAAUUAAUGGAAUUAAUGGCUGAUUUUGGAUUGAAAAUUAACUGAUUAUUGUUAGUAAUUUCAGUUUAUGUUCUCACUUUGAGCAAUUACAAUAUAUAUUCUAUACCUUGUGUCUAUGCUGCUGGUUAUCUUGUGUUUAUUGCUGUUGGUUAUUGGUUUAAUAUUAUUGCAAUUGAACUCAUUUGGUUAUUGAUUAUUGGUUGCUUAUUGGUUAUUGGUUGAGUUUUGGUGGAAGUUGAAACCCAACCAUAACAAGUGGUAUCAGAGCAGCUAUGUGAACUGGGAGUGGCCUUUAAAACAAUCGACUAGAUGCUACAGGGUGUUUGUACUAGCCUGGACCGAAUGGAACAAAUGAUGGGAGAAAUGAAGGCUACACAGGAGUCUAUGGUGUUGAUGCUAGCUCAAUUAUCUGGGAGCGAGGCUCAUUGCAAAGAAAAACAAAUAAAAGUAUUUGGAUCACCAUCUCAAACUAGUAGGGGUAUCUUUGGAAGAUAUGAAACCCAUUUUGGGUUCUCUAGAGAAAAUCAAGAGGCUAAAAUGGAUUUUUCACAUUUUGGGGGAGAAGGACCUAGGAACUGGCUAAGGGAAGCAAGAAAAUACUUCCAACUCCAUCACAUUUUCUGAUGACCUGAGGCUAGGAAUGGUUAAAAAGUACUUCGAAGGGAGGGCUUACGUACGGUUUUAUGGAUUCAUUGCAAAUCAUCCCAGGGGGAUUGGAGUUUGUUUUCGGAUGAGCUUUGCUGGAGAUUUUCAGAAACUAUUGAGGAAGAAUCCCAAAAUGAUGAUGAUUCUAAGUCUUCUCAAUUGGGGAUUAAGCUGAACUUGUUUGAUUCAAAUAGUCAGGUGUCCGAGGUAAGUGAAAGCGGUGUGUCAAUGAUACUUUUGGGUGGGUCAAAUGCUCAAAAUUGUGAAAUCCCAACUGAAUCUAGGAGGUCAGAGAGGCUGCAACUUGAAAAUGAUAGCUCGAAGUCUCUUCAUAUGGAUGCGAAGCUUAACUCGGCUUAUAUAAACUAUCAGACCGAUGUCAUCACUGAUGUUGAUGAGUGCAGUGGAAGGAUGGUAGAGAAAAUGAGAUUCGAUCUUGUCACUAAGGCUUCUAAUGGGGCUUUUGAGAGGCGCAUUUCUAGUAUGAGGGGUUCUGAUGUGAGCACGAUUGAAAAUGAUAUCAAUGCAGAAUCUAUUCCUGGGCAUGGUGUCAAGGAAAAGCCUUUUGUACCUCCAUAUGACAAUGUUAUCAAAAAAUCUGAAGUUACUUAUACAGUCAAAGAAUCUGUCGGUAGAAGAAAUAUUUGUCAAAAUUCUUCCAGCGACAGUAUGGAGGUUCCAGAAUCAGUAAGUUUGACUCAAUUGGGAAAAUCAUGGUAGUUCCAUGGUUGUAGCAAAGGGAGAGAAACAUAAUUUUCCAAAUGGCCAAAAGAAUGAUGAUAGAGAAUUGCGAGUGGAACCACAGGUGGGGUCGGAGUUUGAUUCGACAGAAGUUGCACAGGAGUUCUACGAUGCUUGUGCCACCUUACACUAUCUACUUAAUCCAAGGAUGGUGAAGAGAAUGAGGCGGCUACUAACUUAAAGAAGACAUCCCAUCUUUGAACCUUGAGGACAAGGUUAAUUUAAGGGGAAGGGAUGUCAUGGGUUGGACCCUUUAGUUUAUUUUGUUUAAGUGGGCUAGCCCAGUCUCAUUAGGGUUGUUGUUUGGGUCUAUAUGUAGCUGUAUGCGUGCAUUUGGAAGGGUGUCGAAUGUUGAAUUGAUCGUGGUGGUUUGCUACCGUCUACCUCCCCUCUUCCUCUUCUUUGGUUCUUCCAAUUCUUCUUCUUCUUCUCUAUUUUCUACAUUUCUCACCCCUCUGGUAAGCUCUUUUCUUGCUUCUCCUCUUCUUCUCUGUUUCUCCAGCUUUCUUCUUCUCCAUUCUUCUGCUCUCUUCUUCUACUCUUAGUCUAUUCUUCACUCCCCUUCCCUGCAGGUCUAUUUCUAUAUCUUUUAUAUUUGUCUUUUAAUUGCAAUCCAUUGUAAUCAACUGCAUUGUAAUUGAAUCAUCAAUUAAUGAAAUGAAUGGCUGAUUUUGGAUUGGAAAUUAACUGAUUAUUGUUAGUAAUUUCAGUUUAUGUUCUCACUUCGAGCAAUUACAAUAUAUAUUCUGUAUCUUGUGUCUAUGCUGCUGGUUAUCUUGUGUUUAUUGUUGCUGGUUAUUGGUUGAAUAUUACUGCAAUUGAACUCCCCUGGUUAUUGAUUAUUGGUUGCUUAUUGGUUGAGUUUUGGUGGAAGUUGAAGCCCAACCGAUUCUUCUUCUUCUUCUCUAUUUUCUGCAUUUCUCUCCCCUCUGGUAAGCUCUUUUCUUGCUUCUCCUCUUCUUCUCCGUUUUUCCAGCUUUCUACUUCUCCGUUCUUCUGCUCUCUUCUUCUACUCUUAGUCUAUUCUUCACUUCCUUCCCUGCAGGUCUAUUUCUAUAUCUUUUAUAUUUGUUUUUUAAUUGCAAUCCAUUGUAAUCAACUCCAUUGUAAUUGAAUCAUCAAUUAAUGGAAUGAAUGGCUGAUUUUGGAUUGGAAAUUAACUGAUUAUUUUUAGUAAUUUCAGUGUAUGUUCUCACUUUGAGCAAUUACAAUAUAUAUUCUGUAUCUUGUGUCCAUGCAGCUGGUUAUCUUGUGUUUAUUGCUGCUGGCUAUUGGUUGAAUAUUACUGCAAUUGAACUCCCCUGGUUAUUGAUUAUUGGUUGCUUAUUGGUUAUUGGUUGAGUUUUGGUGGAAGUUGAAGCCCAACCAUAACAAACUCGAAGAGGAACCGAUCUCUAUGUCUAUUGUGUAGUUCUGUGUAAUACUCCGCUUUUGUUUCCUUUUUCUAUUGCUCUGUGUCUGUGAGACUGGAAGUGAUUCUAGACUUGCAUAAUGAAUUCCAUCUCAAAAAAAUUAUGUGCUAUUCCCAUUUGUUUUGUGGAGCAGAUAAAUCACGCCUUAAUAACCUCCUGUUAAGAGAUUUUUUGGCGGCUAAAUGCAUUAUUUGUCAAUUUCUCUGCUCCAUGCUUCAUGUUUCCCUUUGUUGGUAGGGAGAGGGGUUUAAAGAGGACCAGAUCUGUCAGAUUUUCCAUAUCAAAUUCCUUGAUUAUUGAAUUUCCGAAUUUUAUGGAGGUUUCUUUUUUGGCAGCUCCUAGCUAUUAAGCAAUUGGAUAGGAAUGGGCUUCAGGUAACAGAGAAUUUUUGGUAGUCUAUAUAUACUAACUGUUGAAUAUAAUGCUUUACAUCAUUAACUCUUAUAUAUCUAUGGCAAAUCCAAGUAAUUUAUUCUUCCUGCUUCUGCUCUCAAUUGCGAGCAUGAACAUGCAUCAGUCGAUUAUGUUUACAUUUUUUCAGUUGCUCUUGUUUUGUUUUUCAAAUAAAUUGCCAUUCCCUUUUUUCUGAUCAUCAUUCCAUUCAUUUUUGUUGUAAUCUCAUAAAGUAUUUGUGAUACACAAUUAACUCUUUAUACAUGCAUAUGUAUAUAUCUCUAUAUGUAAUAUCUAUAUUGAUUUUCUAGAUCAAUCAUUGCCUAGUAAUUGCACUGAGUUUCGGUAUAGCAAUUUUUCCUCCAGUUAUGGAAAUGGAAUUGAGAGCUUGCACUUGGGUUUGACAAUCAACCAAACAACACUUAAGCUGUGAGAAAAAGAGGUAAUAUCUUUCUAUUUUAGCAUUUGAAUGCAUAAAUAAAUGUAGGAUUUUUUAUAUAUGAGAUCAAGUCAAUGAUUAAGUACAUUUGGCUGGAAAUUUGUUCAUCCUUGUGUAAAAUGAAUUUGAUAUGUUAUGAGUCCAAAUGAACAGAAGUGAUAGCUCUAUUUUGCAGGACAAAAAGAUUCAUUUAGGCAACCAAGAGUUCGAUCAGAAUAAAACUUAGCUUGUUAUUUGUUGUUAUUGUGGUGUUCUUGGAUUAGAUGAUAGUGACUAGUGAGAAGUUUUCCUCUUAUCAUUUAUUUGGAAGCACAAAGCCUAAAUCAGGAUUAGAUGAUAGCUUACCCAGGUUAUUGAGAAUAAGUAUUGAUAUAUAUAUAUUUUUUUAAACGCUGUUCACUUGUUCUUAGAAUGAGAGAAGUUUUCAUGGACAAGGGUUUAUUAAACUACAUAAUAUUAAUUUUCCACUUUAAUGUCAAAGCAAGUACCUCCAGGUUUUAGCAUCAGAUCAGUUCUUGGUGAGAGGGUAAGUGUGAGAGUAGGAGUGUGCAAUAAAGAAAACAGCAAUUUGUGUCUGAUUUUGCUGAAACCAAGAAAAACGUUACUAUACUAAUCUGAGAUUAAUUAAAAUUUCCUAUUCAUCAUAUCCAUAUUUACUAAUAAAUUACUGAAUUAUAAAUCAACAUGAAAGGUUACAGGACUUCCCUUCCUUUUCUGUCCCUUCCCUCUAAGCAUAUAUCGUGUCAUAGAUACUGCUAAUUAAUUAAUUUUUAAAUUUUUAUUUAUUUAUUUUUACUUUAACAAAGAUGAUCACUACAAGGUCGUUUUUUGUGAGUGGGAUAAUUGAUUUCCACCUUGAUUGCUGGCGGUAACAAGACUUAUACAGUGACAGACGUAGAUAUUUAGAGUCAUUGAAACACAAUCAAACUUAUAAAAAAGUUACUAAAAGUUUAAUAUAUUUGAUAUCUUAUGACAACUGUUCUCUAUGCGUUCUAACGUUCCAUAAUUAUAUUAUUUUCAAUACUUUAAACUCAGAUUUACAUUUAACGUACUUUUCUAUACUUGAUACAAACAACCAAUUAAAACGAUUAAUUCGAGUGAAAAAAAUAAUCCGUUUAUCAAUAAUUACAAGUUUACCAAUGAAAACAAUCAAUUCAAUUGCUAUUUGGUAAUGGAAGGACACUCUUCUUUCUUCGUAAUUUUGGAGCCUAUUAAAACAAUCACCACUACCACCAAAAAAAAU
rnacentral:lncRNA from 1 species